rnacentral:rRNA from 1 species
AGUGAACGCUGGCGGUAGGCCUAACACAUGCAAGUCGAACGGCAGCACAGUAAGAGCUUGCUCUUACGGGUGGCGAGUGGCGGACGGGUGAGGAAUACAUCGGAAUCUACUUUUUCGUGGGGGAUAACGUAGGGAAACUUACGCUAAUACCGCAUACGACCUACGGGUGAAAGCAGGGGAUCUUCGGACCUUGCGCGAUUGAAUGAGCCGAUGUCGGAUUAGCUAGUUGGCGGGGUAAAGGCCCACCAAGGCGACGAUCCGUAGCUGGUCUGAGAGGAUGAUCAGCCCCACUGGAAGUGAGACACGGUCCAGACUCCUACGGGAGGCAGCAGUGGGGAAGAUUGGACAAUGGGCGCAAGCCUGAUCCAGCCAUACCGCGUGGGUGAAGAAGGCCUUCGGGUUGUAAAGCCCUUUUGUUGGGAAAGAAAAGCAGCAGGUUAAUACCCCGCUGUUCUGACGGUACCCAAAGAAUAAGCACCGGCUAACUUCGUG